CCAGAGCACGACUCGACUCCAUCAGUCCAUCUUACAUGUGAGAGUGACGCUGUACUGUAGCUUCUUUUGACAAGACGACUCGUCUGUUGUUCGGAUCUUGCUCCACCGCUGCCAGACACCUCGACUCGGAGACUCUCCGGCCGCCCAGAUUCUUCUUCUGCUGGACAAACCAGCCGAAUUCGAUGGCGAUGCGUGCCGUGUUCUCUCCUUCUUCUCUCUUCUCUUUCAACAAGACCACCACGACCGCCACUGCUGCUUAUUCUGCUCACCUCCCCAACUUCCCAUUUGCUCCGUCCUGGAGGAGGAGCAGCUCCCUCCUCUUUAACAUCCCCACUGCCGCUUCUCUUAGUGUGCGCCGCCGGGGAAGGCGUGGGAAACUGUCUCCUGGCGUGGCUUACUCCGCCGCUUCUGUCUCAGGGAAAAGCAUCCACGAUUUCGCCGUGAAGGAUAUCGAUGGGAAGGACAUGUCAUUGAGCAAGUUCAAGGGAAAGGUGCUUUUGGUAGUUAAUGUUGCUUCUCGAUGUGGUUUAACUAAUGCCAAUUACACAGAGCUUAGUCACCUCUAUGAGAAGUAUAAGUCCCAAGGUUUUGAAAUUCUAGCCUUCCCUUGCAACCAGUUUGGUGGGCAAGAACCUGGCACAAAUCCACAGAUAAAGGAAUUUGCUUGCACUAGAUUCAAAGCAGAAUUUCCUAUUUUUGACAAGGUAGAUGUGAAUGGACCAAAUACUGCUCCAGUCUACCAAUUUCUCAAGUCAAGCACAGGAGGGUUUCUUGGAGAUCUGAUCAAAUGGAAUUUUGAAAAGUUUUUGGUGAAUGGGGAAGGGAAGGUGGUAGAAAGAUACAGCCCAACAACAAGCCCUUUCCAGAUUGAGAAGGAUAUUAAGAAGCUUUUGGCAGCAUGAUCAUGUUUUCUCAUGAUUGGGCAGCAAUGACUGGGACUAAAUCUCUGUAUGAAGUUCAAAUGUCCAGUAUCUAAUGUAAAUAACAGGUGUUGGAUCAUGCAUCUUAGCUCUGAACAACCAGAAGAGAAGUUGCUAGAGUGGAACUGGUGGAAUGUACGCUUUGGUGGUUGGAAAGUUGCUAGCUGUUUUCCUGACCAUGGUUCUACUAUUUCCAACAAGGGGAUAAUUUUGUUGGAUGUUUAUGUGUUUCUAAAAUAAACCUUAUGAACAUGACUAAUACAGUCAGUGAGCAGCAUUUCAUGCACCAGUUGCGAUUCGUUUGUGGGUAAUUUAUGGCAACCUACUUAUAGGGAAUGUGUUUGACUGAACUGCUAUUGCGUUCCAGCCCACUAGAACUUGCGUGCGGUAUCAUUAUUGUUCUUGUUAUUAUAUAGAAUGGAUCAUUCCUUAACGAUCAA